CGUGUUCAGGUAAUCGUUUUUUCUCUGUCCUAUUUGUUUUAGAAAUAUGAGAAUUUUGGUAUUUAAGUUGUCUGUAAACACUCUUCUCGAGCUGAAAGAGUUUAAAAGUUCAUGUCGCCCCCCGAAAAAAAUCCCAAAAGACAAAAAUGUUAGUCUUUACGAGACGCAGUGAACGCAACAUUCCCCUGGUCACACACUUGCUAUUAAGAUGUCCCCACCCACUAAGCCUUAUAUGGUAAGCCCCGCCCACUCGCACACAACCAAACCCCAGCAUGCAAAGUUCAGUUGACUCGUUAUCAGCGGUCAGCAGGGGAUCGAUGGAGUAAAUAAACUGAGUCCCAGUUUGAAGCUAUUUUCCAACAAAAACAGCUGCAAAGCGACGUGCAAACACCGUUUGUGUGUUUUAUGUUGUUUAAUUUGGGUUUCUUAGUGAAAGUGAACCAUGUUUCCACCGCAGAAUCUGACUGCAUACAUUUCAGAGAUGAAAAAACCCUGAAAGUUCUGCUUUGGUGUUUUUGGGUCAAUGACAUCACAAGAGGCAACAGAUUGGAGCUAAUCGACACUUUGAUGGAUAAGGAGACUUUUCACACAUUUCAACACAUUCUGAAGAGUUGGAGAUGCAAAGAGCCCAGCGGACCACGACGGAUCCAGAGUCUGCAAUGGAUUCUGCAGUGGGCGGAGAACCCGAAGCAAACGGUCUCCAUGACAACGUUAACUGGCGCAAAUCUGUUCAUAUGUCUGUUUGGACUACAGCAAUUUCCUAUUAGUAUAUCUUCCCAAAAACAACUCCUGAUUAGUGAGCAAUUAUUCUUUUUCUUUCUCCAACUUCUUUUUUAAUAUUCCAAAAUUACAUGUUUUAAAAAAAACCCCAGCAGCAACACAUAAAAAAAUGGUUCAAAAAAUUGAACCACUGGAGUACUGCUUAUUCAGUUCUGUAAUUUGUCAGUUUACUGCUGUCCAGGAUUCAGGAGUGUGGGACGACACGGAGGAGGAACAACAAUCAAUUGUCUCCUAAAAAUGUCAGAAGGUUUCCAAAAACAGACAUUUUGCAAAACUUGUAUCUCCAUUUUAAAAUCCAAAAGGGUGUUUAUUGAAAAGUUAAAACAAAUUUACAGUAUAUAUUUACCAAUGUCAAUGACCUUUUGAAGAAAGACAUUUUGUUUUUAGUUACACCAAAUCAACAACCUGUUUAAAUAAUGUGCCGGCAAUCCUUGUGAAUUUUAAUGCAAAAACAUACAAUACAAACAGAAAGCAAAUCAAUCUGCAUCAGUAAUCAGGAGAGGAUUUAUUAAACAGCACAAAAUUCUUGGUAUUUCUACAUGUACACAAAAUCAUAAAUAACCCCAAAACCAAACUGUCACCCUCUCUGUACUGAUGGGAUCCAGAUCCUUAUGAUUUCAAUGCAAUAAGCCAGACUGUAGGAGCCACAUAUUUAUAAACCAUUUACAGUUGAACGAAACCACCUACAGUAUCAAGAGAUAGAAGAAGUUAGUCGUUCUGCAGAGUAGUUGUCAUUAAUUCUGGAUAUUGUAAAUACAAAAAGGAACCCUAUGUAGUUUCAUGUGCUAUUUACAACUGUCUUCUAAAAACAAGCUUUCCACCCUCACAAGUGUCUGGAAAAAAACAAAAAAUCUUUACCAUGGCAAACGGGUGUUUUUUUUUUUUUUCCUUUUCCAAAAUAUAAAUUUUCUACACAACUAAAGAGUCCUAUUUGAAGAGAAACCAAUUCAUUUCUACUUUCCACUGGAGAAGGUAGACAAAGAAAAACACUGGGGUCUUCUGGUGGCCAAUCAGGGAGCUCAUUCAUUUCAUACAAACCAACAGAAGCAGGACAGCUUGCUUCACGUACCUACUGUUAAAAUCACUCUCGUUUUUGCAUCAAUAUAUUUGGUUAUUUUUAUAUAUUUUAUCUAUGAUCGGUGAGCCGUUUGUGGUCAUCCAGCGACAGCACCCUCCACAUCUUCGGACUCGAGUGAAUCCUAUUAUGAAGCAUUAUCUCACAAAUUCAUCUUUCACUGGGAGCAUUUAGUCCAGUAUAUAUUUGUAUACCUCACUUCAACACUAGGUUCUGUUGUCUCUUCCAUUUUUGAAGCGUGACUAAAAGUACAGAAUCCCUAGAGGGACACUGUGGGAAAAAAUACUAAUUCUCAUGCGCACCAGAUAGAUUUUUUUCUCCCCUCCAAUGUCCCUUCAGGGAUUCUGUUCACAAAAAAAAAAAAAGAAAAGAGAAAUCAAAAACAUUUAAAAGACACAAAACACUCAUUAGCUACUAAAAAGGUCGCUUUAAAUAAAUCUAAAUUUAAAAACGAGUUCUGAUAUAUUGUUGAGGGUGAGAGGAAACAACUAAAAGAAACGUCUUCACAGGAGAUUUUUGCCCCCCUCCAAUAAAUAACAAUUGUGCUGAAAUCAAAAGUCAAGUUUUCCUCCCAUUACUGCAAAAAAAAAAAAAAAAAAAA